rnacentral:rRNA from 1 species
AGAGUUUGAUUAUGGCUCAGGAUGAACGCUAGCUACAGGCUUAACACAUGCAAGUCGAGGGGCAGCAUUGGGGUAGCAAUACUCAGAUGGCGACCGGCGCACGGGUGAGUAACACGUAUCCAACCUGCCGCUUACUCGGGGAUAGCCUUUCGAAAGAAAGAUUAAUACCCGAUGGUAUAAAGAGUUCGCAUGUUCUCUUUAUUAAAGAAUUUCGGUAAGCGAUGGGGAUGCGUUCCAUUAGAUAGUUGGCGGGGUAACGGCCCACCAAGUCUACGAUGGAUAGGGGUUCUGAGAGGAAGGUCCCCCACAUUGGAACUGAGACACGGUCCAAACUCCUACGGGAGGCAGCAGUGAGGAAUAUUGGUCAAUGGACGAGAGUCUGAACCAGCCAAAAGUAGCGUGAAGGAUGACUGCCCUAUGGGUUGUAAACUUCUUUUAUAAGGGAAUAAAGUGAGGGACGUGUCCCUUUUUGUAUGUACCUUAUGAAUAAGGAUCGGCUAACUCCGUGCCAGCCGCCGC